rnacentral:rRNA from 1 species
ACCUGGUUGAUCCUGCCAGUAGUCAUAUGCUUGUCUCAAAGAUUAAGCCAUGCAUGUCUAAGUAUAAGCAACUAUACGGUGAAACUGCGAAUGGCUCAUUAAAUCAGUUAUCGUUUAUUUGAUAGUACCUUACUACAUGGAUAACCGUGGUAAUUCUAGAGCUAAUACAUGCUAAAAACCUCGACUUCGGAAGGGGUGUAUUUAUUAGAUAAAAAACCAAUGCCCUUCGGGGCUCCCUGGUGAUUCAUAAUAACUUAACGAAUCGCAUGGCCUUGCGCCGGCGAUGGUUCAUUCAAAUUUCUUCCCUAUCAACUUUCGAUGUUUGGGUAGUGGCCAAACAUGGUUGCAACGGGUAACGGAGGGUUAGGGCUCGACCCCGGAGAAGUAGCCUGAGAAACGGCUACUACAUCCAAGGAAGGCAGCAGGCGCGCAAAUUACCCACUCCCUGAACGGGGAGGUAGUGACGAUAAAUAACGAUGCAGAACUCUUUCCGAGGCUCUGCAAUCGGAAUGGGUAC